rnacentral:rRNA from 1 species
GACAGAGGGUGGCAAACGUUGCUCGGAAUUACUGGGCGUAAAGCGCGUGUAGGCUGACCCUCAAGUCGGACGUGAAAUCCCUGAGCUCAACCUCAGGAACUGCAUCCGAAACUGAGGGCCUAGAGUAGUGGAGAGGGAAGCAGAAUUCCUGGUGUAGAGGUGAAAUUCGUAGAUAUCAGGAGGAACACCGGUGGCGAAGGCGGCUCCUGGCCAUUCACUGACGCUGAGACGCGAAAGCGUGGGGAGCAAACAGG